GGAGGUAGUGACAAUAAAUCACAAUGCGGAACAUUUGUUUUGCAAUUGGAUUGAGAACAACGCACAACACUUAUCGAUAAACAAUUGGAGGGCAAGUCUGGUGCCAGCAGCCGCGGUAAUUCCAGCUCCAAUAGCGUAUAUUAACGUUGUUGCAGUUAAAAAGCUCGUAGUUGAAGUGAAGUAAUGAAGUUGUGAUUUGAUUUAUCAUUUCGCUCCUUAAUUACUCUUUCCAAACUGUUUGCACGGGUAUUCAUUUACUUGUGUAUUGCAUUUGGUCGUUUACUGUGAGAAAAUUAGAGUGUUCAAAGCAUACGUUUGUUUGAAUACAUUAGCAUGGAAUAAUUCGAAAAGGCUUUCAUGUUCGAUUUGAUUGGUUUGUUCGUGAGAGCAAGAUUAAAAGGGACAGUUGGGGGUAUUCAUAUUCAAUAGUCAGAGGUGAAAUUCUCGGAUUUAUGGAAGAUGAACAAGUGCGAAAGCA
rnacentral:rRNA from 1 species